CCUACGGGAGGCAGCAGUGGGGAAUAUUGCACAAUGGGGGAAACCCUGAUGCAGCAACGCCGCGUGAGUGAAGAAGUAAUUCGGUAUGUAAAGCUCUAUCAGCAGGGAAGAAAAUGACGGUACCAGAGUAAGAAGCCGCGGCGAACUACGUGACAGCAGCCGCGGUAGUAAGUAGGGGGCAAGAGUUAUCCGGAUGUACUGGGUGGAAAGGGAGCGUAGACGGCAGUGCAAGUCUGGAGUGAAAGGCGGGGGCUCAACACCCGGACUGCUCUGGAAACUGUACGUCUGGAGUGCAGGAGAGGUAAGUGGAAUUCCUAGUGUAGCGGUGAAAUGCGUAGAUAUUAGGAGGAACACCAGUGGCGAAGGCGGCUUACUGGACUGUAACUGACGUUGAGGCUCGAAAGCGUGGGGAGCAAACAGGAUUAGAUACCCCUGUAGUC
rnacentral:rRNA from 1 species